AGUCUUUCUGAUUCUAAAGCCCAAGUUUCUAUAACCAUCCUCUUACUAUCUGCCAGGUUAAAGAAAAAUUGGGGCAAUAAUGAUAUAAAUAAUACCUACCUGGUGUCAAGGAUUACAAUGAAAGGUGUGUAUGGGGUCCCCAGCAUAGUUCCUGGAACAAAAUAAAUUCUCUGUAAAAGACUGCUGUAAGCAUUGGCAUUAGGCCCUUGGUGUGGUAUUGAACUGAUAUGUUCUAUCUUAUCGAGGUUACCAAGUGCUACUCUUGGAGGCAUGGAAGAAAGUGACUACCUGUCAGUGGGGACUGCAGCUGGCUACACAGAGGAGGAGGUAUCUGAGUUGGAUCUCCAAGGGCAAGUAGAGGUCGGGCAGGUGGAGAAGGCAGGUGCAAGAUUGAGCUGACUAGGAAGAAUAUGUAAGGGAAACACGCAGAGUUGUGGACAGGCAUCUGGAAAGAACCAAGGUAGGAAAGCAUGAGGUUGGGCAGAUGCAGCAAUCCCAGGGCUGCUGAAAGACACAGGUGGAGGAAAUGCCCUGAAGCUUUGGAGGGGCUGCCCUUCUCCUGAGACUUGAGGGAGAGGAGGAGCCCAUGGUCCCCAGUAGUGCUGGCUCCCUCCUUGAAGUAGCAAGCAAGGCCAUCUGCUGAGCUUGGCCUUUGAAGUGGGUAAUAAGCCAGAAAAGAGGGUCAGCCUCCUGGCAACCACCCAAGCAAAGACUUAGUGGCUGUGAGUGGGUCAGAUACUUCCUCCCACCACUCACAAAGACAAUGGAAUAAUGAUUCCUGCCAGCCUUGCAGGGACGUGGUGAGGCACGUAGUACACUAUACCAAAUACCACGUGUGUGUGCCAGAGGCCUUGAUGUCCUGUGGUGUGCACGUUCAAAUGAGAGGCAUAGAUAACUCACAUGUUCUCAGUGUUUUGCAGACAUGAGUCUAUUGUUUCUACAACCCCUUGAUUCAUCUGUGCAUUCAUUCAUUUGGUAAAUGUCUAUGGAGACCUCAGUGCUCUAUGACAUCAGGCAUUCACAGUAACUGUUGGUGCUGUGCUCAAGUUACUCAGACUUCAAGGUGAAAGGCACUAGUCAGUGGGAUCAUGUGACCAUAUCUGGACCAGAUCUGUAGUGUCUGAGGGUCACAUGGUUGUACAAAAGAGGGUCCCUUCCUUGGACCAAGGGGAUUGAGGGAGGCUUCCGAGAGAAGGUGAUUUCUAAGCGGAAGCGAGGAUUGUGGAUGCUCUCACCACAGAGGAGAACAUGAGGAAAUGCAUGUGCUGAUUGGAUCAUCACAGGAUGUUGUCCAUGGAUCAGAACACCCCGCUGUCCCUGUGACAGAUAAUCAGGUGUCUAGCUGUCGGCUACCAUUGGCAGGAUUCCCCAGCUGAGAGAUGACACCCAAGAGCUCCACCACCUCCAGAAGCGUGCAGGAAAGUCACAGGAACGAAGAGACAGUGUGCCACACAGCUGAAGUACAACCAAAAACCAAUUUCCCAAACCUGCCUGCUGCACCGCACUCCCAGCCAGCCCUGCCUCUGCUCCUGUUGAAGUGAACCUUCUACUGUCUCCUUGGUCACAUGGAAGGAAGGAGUCUCUGGAGCCCAAGGAAGUAGACGUUUCCCACAUUGUCUCUCCAACCAAGAUAUUCACUAAGACUUUUGUUUAUUCCCACAAAUCCACUGGAGGCCAGUGUGCACGUUGGUAGGUCUGCGUGAGACUGAGCCGGCUUCAGGAUCCUGCACAAGGCUCUUCUAAGGGAACAAUGAGGAGGGAAGGGCUUUGGGUGGCUGUGGGGACAGUAGUAAAUUCUGACAGCAGUACUGAAUUGCUGGGUGACUAUGUGAAUAACCCACCUAGGAAAAUUUCCAAAGAUGUUUUAUUGAGAAAAGAAAGCUGGUCCUCACAAUAUUGAACCCCUGACACUGUGUGAUUUCUUCAUCGUCAUCACCGUCAUCGUUAUCAUCAACACCAGCAUCCCUCCAGUGUCUACCUGUGCCAAGCACUCUCCUGUAUAUUAUAUUCAUCUAAACUUAAGGGUACCAUUAUCCCCAUUUUACAGAUGAAAAAGCAGUGAUCCUUCAAAGCCCAAGUCUUACUUCUAAUCUUCAAAAAUCUAAACUUAACUUGAUGAACACUCCAAAUGGUAACAAACCAUCAAUUUAAUAAUCAAAGCAAAAUGUAUUUACAUCAGCCUCGCCAGAGGCUUUUCCUAGCACAGCACAGCACCUUCUGUUACAUCAGUAAGUAGAAACGAAUGGAUUUCAAGAUAUAAUUUCUCACUUUUCAGAAUAACAAAUAAGCUCUGGCUGAAGGACUGGCCUCUGCCUUCUGUGUUAAACUAAUGUGAUUCACAGUUUACCCACUGACCACACUUCUUCACCACACCUACAUUUGGACGAAGGAAAAUAAUGUUCUUCAACCUCUUCUCUGUUUCUUCUAAAGUAUUGAGUUUUAACUAUCAGCAGCCUUGUUACAUCGUCGGGAUCCAUCACCUUUUCAGAGAUUAUUGAAAGUGCAGGUCUGAAGGGUACCUGUCCAUUAGCUUCCAACCCACAUCUGUCUUUGUAAGUCCUCCCGAGAUCCUUCACUAACUGCACUUCUUAGCAGCUUUUAUUGCUCUAAAGCAAAGUUCUACUACCGGCUUGAGUAGACUGAGAAAGGCAGACAAAGGCAAAAUCAGUGGAAAUGAAAAUGUGUUUAUGGUUUCUCCAAUUCCCCAUCCAGGGGUUGCCAUUUUAGAAGUGGAGAGCAUCUGUGAUGUGCAUGUAUGCACACUUAGCACUUAAUCAAAUGGCUAGAGAAGUUAUAAAAGAGCAAGAUGCAAGUGGUAGUUUAGAAAGCAGCAGGCAGUGCUGGGUCCCCGGUGGCGACUCUGAGUUAAUACUCCUCAGGGGAAGGCAGAACAAAAGGAAGAAAACACAAAUACAGCAGAAUCUGCCCCACGGACUUAAAAUCUGUCACAUCAGCUGAGCUUUCCUGGCAAAGAAGCAUAGAGUCUAAGUUUAUCCUGUUCACUUUGUAACUGGAGAGUGACUGGUAUUCAAAGGUUGGAAUGUGCACUGGGAAUUAAGUAUGAUGGAGAAGUGAUCAAAAAAUGCAAUACCUUUUGAAAUAUUUACUUGGGAAUGCUUGUCUUAAAACCUCUGGCACAACAUUGCCCUUCUCUCUCCUGACAUAACAUAGACUAAUUAAUAUGUACCACAAAUCCAACCACACAGUGCAGGACCCAGGGAUUUCUUUGGUGCAAUGUGAUUAGCAAGCCUGUGCGGUCGGAGCCAGCCAAGGGCUUUAGAGCAUCUAGAAAUUUCUUAAUGCUCUGAUUCUGGAGCUAAAUUUCUAGGAGAGGUUCAUGGGGCCAUAUUGAUUCUUCCUGUAGGUGUCAAAGCAUGCACCGCUUGUAAAAAUCUAUUGGAAGUUGUUUCUCCUUUCUGCAGGGUUGUUGUGAGUGGUGGUGCUGACAUCAGUGUCAACCAUUGAUUGGACACCUGCCAUCAGGCUUGCAGAAUGCUGUCAUUCCAUGCCACCUCUUAUUUAACCCCCUGGCCAAACCUGAAAGGUGGUCUCAUGUGAUGCUCACUUAAAAAGAAGAAAGAUCAGGAGCAGAGAGGUGUUAAUAUUAUGCCCAAUGCUGCUGUAUCUGUUACCUUUUGCUGUGUGACAAAUGACCACAAUAUGUAGUGACUUAGAGCAAACACACAUUUAUUAUCUCACAUUUAUUAUUGUGGGUCAGAAGUACAGGCACAGCUUGGUUGUAUCUUCUGCUCAGAAUCUCUCUGAAGGCUGAAACCAAUACAUCAGCCAGGGCUGGGGUCUCACCUGAAGGCUCAGUGGGGAAAAACUCACCCCAAGCUUUGUCUUGAGAUGUUGUCAGCACAAUUUGGUUCCUUGAGGGAUACUGACCUAGUGCCUCACUUCCUAGCUGACUUUUGUCCAAGGCUCACCCUCAGUUCAGUGCCACAUGGGCCUCACCAUCAUCUUGCUUCAUCAAAGUAUGCAAUUUAAGAAUUCAAUAAAGAAGAACCCACUAUAAUGUGGAACUAUAAUCUAGCAAAACCUCAUCUCCAAAGUGACAUCCCAUGACCAUUGCUGUGUUUUAUUGCAAAAAAAGCAAGAUCCUGAUCACAUUGAGAUAAGGAAAUUUUGCAAAAAUGUGAAUACUAGGAGACAGGGAUCACAUCGACAUCGCAGUAUUCACUCACCACGCCACCCACCUAGUGCCAGCAGGUGCACUGCCAGCCCCCUGUCUCCAGCUUACCUGUUUAUCCUCAGAAGCUUAACCCCCCGCACGUCUCCCAGGACUCCAUCUCUGGAAACUUCAAUCUCCCUUCUCCUGUCUCCCCUGUGGAUCCUCUUGACACCGAUAGCAGCAGACACUGCAACUUCAGAACAUUUCUGUUGCCAAUCAGGUUUUGUGUAAGCUGUUUGGUGGACUCUCAGGGAACUUUCAAGGGGUACUUCUCAACCGUGCACCAUGCAGCCCCAGGGGUCUUCAGAGUUUCUCAGGGAUCACCUUUUGGAGGGAAAGGGAGCACAGAAUUAUGAACCCAAAGCUCUCACACCCAUUUGAGUACCCGUCUUCUUCAGCUUUGUGUUUGAUUUUACUUGAAGAAUGAUUCCAUGUUCAAUAGAUAGUUGAAAGCCACUUGUCAGAGCAAUAAUAUGGUUCCCCCAUUUAUCCCAGCACUGUAGCCUUUCUUUGGGAAAAUACCAUUAAAAAUCCAGGUUUCCAAGAAUUAUUAAGAUGGGCCAUGGAAGGGAAGAGGUAUUUAUUGAGUAUUUCCCUGUCCUUAAGAGAAUGUACUCCUUUAUGUGUCUUCUAGGAUCUUCUCAGACAUAUUCUUCUUUUCAUUCCCAUUGUCCCAACUUUAUUUCAUACCUCCUCCUCUGAAUACCUGAACAGGCUCCCACCUGGCUUCCUGGCCUCCAGUAGUCCAUCAUCCACCCUGUGGGCCAAGUGAACUUCCUAAACUCCUAAAGGAACUGUGCAACUCCAUACCUAAAACCCUUCAAUGGCAUCCCCCAAGAGAAAAGUAAAAUCCUUGAUGGGGGAGGUCUGCUAUGGACAGCUGUCACUCAUAGAUGUCUAAUGUCUUUUGAACAACCUCUCUAGACCUUGACAGUUUCCACAUAUGAUUCCCACAUUCCCGUAGUAGAAUGAAAAGCAGCAGCCAUAACAUU